UGCCCGAUUACCAAUCCAGCCCUGACUGUUUACCUCAAACAGGUAAAAGGGCAGACUGCACCAUCUCAAUGUCUGACUCAGAUCUGCUUGAACUGAUGACGGGGCAGUUGAAUCCACAAACGACAAGCUGUCCAUGAAGAGCAUUGUUCUUCUCUCCUGCGGAUCACAGGGAAAGGACACGAUGACAACAGCACUCAGGAGCUCGGCCAACCAGGGGUCAACAGCGUUCGGCAAAUCCCCUUCACAUGUCCAAAGAUUCACCGGCCCCCGAUCGCUUCAGCUUCCCGUCGUGAAAUUCCCUACAAAGACAUUCACACGCACUCAAAAUCCAAAGUCUCGUUUGUAAUGGUGUGGAGACAGAUGAGGGGACUUCUUCUUCUUGUCAGGGGGCCUGAUGCCCUCCUCCAGCUGCAUG